CCUACGGGUGGCAGCAGUGGGGAAUAUUGCACAAUGGGGGAAACCCUGAUGCAGCAACGCCGCGUGAAGGAAGACGGUUUUCGUAUUGUAAACUUCUAUCAAUAGGGAAGAAAGACAUGACGGUACCAAAAUAAGAAGCCCCGGCUAACUACGUGCCAGCAGCCGCGGUAAUACGUAGGGGGAAAGCGUUAUACGGAAGUACUGGGUGUAAAGGGAGAGUAGGCGGCAAGGUAAGCGAUAUGGUAAAGCCUUAAGCUUAACUUAAGGAUGGCAUAACGAACUAUGUAGCUAGAGUACAGGAGAGGAAAGCGGAAUUCCUAGUGUAGCGGUGAAAUGCGUAGAUAUUAGGAAGAACACCAGUGGCGAAGGCGGCUUUCUGGACUGAAACUGACGCUGAGGCUCGAAAGCGUGGGUAGCAAACAGGAUUAGAUACCCCUGUAGUC
rnacentral:rRNA from 1 species